CGGUAACGCGGGGCAACCUGGCGACGAGUGGCGAACGGGUGAGUAAUAUAUCGGAACGUGCCCAGUAGUGGGGGAUAGCCCGGCGAAAGCCGGAUUAAUACCGCAUGAGACCUGAGGGUGAAAGCGGGGGAUCGCAAGACCUCGCGCUAUUGGAGCGGCCGAUAUCAGAUUAGCUAGUUGGUGGGGUAAAGGCCUACCAAGGCAACGAUCUGUAGUUGGUCUGAGAGGACGACCAGCCACACUGGGACUGAGACACGGCCCAGACUCCUACGGGAGGCAGCAGUGGGGAAUUUUGGACAAUGGGCGCAAGCCUGAUCCAGCAAUGCCGCGUGCAGGAAGAAGGCCUUCGGGUUGUAAACUGCUUUUGUCAGGGAAGAAAUCUUCUGGGUUAAUACCUCGGGAGGAUGACGGUACCUGAAGAAUAAGCACCGGCUAACUACGUGCCAGCAGCCGCGGUAAUACGUAGGGUGCGAGCGUUAAUCGGAAUUACUGGGCGUAAAGCGUGCGCAGGCGGCUUUGCAAGACAGAUGUGAAAUCCCCGGGCUCAACCUGGGAACUGCAUUUGUGACUGCAAGGCUAGAGUACGGCAGAGGGGGAUGGAAUUCCGCGUGUAGCAGUGAAAUGCGUAGAU
rnacentral:rRNA from 1 species